GGGACAGACAGCCGGUCGGCCCGCCGGCCCCGGCCAACCGGCCCCGCUCGUCCUGCUACCGGGGCUCUGACCCUCACCCACCGGCCGGAACGAGUCCCUCUGGGGCAGCACACUUGCCCCAGCCUCCCUGGCCUCACGGAUGGGCCCACCUAGGCCCAGAGACCCCACUCCCAGCACUCACAAACGGGAGAAGCUCUGAGAGAUGAAAAGGGAGGAUUCUUCUUCCUCUGCCCAGGCAGGUGGGAGCUACAGCAGCGAGCUCCUCAGGGAACUAGCCCCUCCCCAGAAGUGGCUGCCACUCCCCGAGGCGUGGUAGACCUGGGACCUGACCCGGGACUCACAGGUGGCACAGCCGGCUUCGUCCGCUCCGCCCUCGCAGUCCUUCUCCCCGUCGCAGCGCCACGAGGCCGGCACGCACUUGCGGCUGGCGGGUCCACAGCUCAGCUUCUCUUCGGGGCACACCUGCUUGGCUGUGGAGACAGACAUCAUGCGUGGCUGAGCCAAGGGGGACCCAGGGCAUGGUGCCAACCAGUCCUACCACCCGUUCCAUCCGCCUGGCCUGAGGCCGUAGGAAUCCAUCAGGGCCCUGCUGCCCCACGUCUCAGUUUCUUCAUUUGAGAAGCAGCCCCUGUCUUCCCCUGGGACUUUCCGAAUCCUAAAUUGGACCCCACUACUGCCCUGAGUCACACUCUUUCACAGCCCCCUGGUCCCUGGCACUCAAGUCCCUCCUUGAUCCACUGACCCCUGCCUGCCUCACCUGGCCGCACCUCCCACCCCUGCAAACCUCCGCUGUAAGCUACGGCAAUGCGGAGCCCCCAGGCCUGCACGCUGCCCGGCCACUUCCCAGCUGCGUGCCCUCGGGUGGGGGUUCCCCAACAGAGCCGCCGUUUGACUUCCAGAUCAUGACUCCAUGAGCUGAACCUGUAAAUUUGGAGGGCUCACCACAUCUCCAACAGCUCCACGCCACACCCCUGCAACCUCCCCUCCCCCAGUGACAGUGCCCAGCCCACCGCCAAGAGCAGCCGCUGCGUGGAGGGCCCAGCGGGACUGCACAGCUAUAAUUACUGCAGCCGCAAUCAGAGGCUGACUCAAUCAGGGGCCUGCAGCCCCGGGGUUGGUUCUCAAUUUGGAAGAAAGAACGAGAACCCUAUUCAGGGCUAGGGACAUCUCUUAUCCCGAGCUGCUGCUGGGCCUAUGCGACAGGCCCGCCGAGGCAGAUGCAUCUCAGACCACCAUGGCCGGCUCCCCACUGCCUUCCAGGUGUGCAGGAGGCCCAGUCUCAGUGGUCUCCGGGCUGUGCCAGGCAUGGUGCUAGACACUUCCAUUUAAUUUUCACAAUAGCCCAGCAGGGUGAGAGGAUUAUGUCCUGGCCUCCGGCAUGGGGGUUGAGGACAUGAGCUCUGCAGCCUGGCUGUCUGGGUUCAAAUCCUAGCUCCAUCACUCACUCCCUAUAUGUGACACCGGCCAGCAAUCCUUAUCUCUGUGCCAGUAGAGUGGGGAUAAUACUAUUACCUGCUAGGACUGUUAGGACGCCUAAGUUCAUGUCUAUAAAGCACUGAGAACACCCGGC